rnacentral:tRNA from 1 species
GGCCUCGUAGCCCAAGCGACUAGAGCGUUGAUGGUAUUUAGGCCUUCCACUUGAUGUCGUGGGUUCGAAUCCCACCGAGGUCG